rnacentral:rRNA from 1 species
GACAGAGGGGGCAAGCGUUGCUCGGAAUCACUGGGCGUAAAGGGCGCGUAGGCGGGAUGGCAAGUCGGUCGUGAAAUCCUUCGGCCCAACCGAAGAACGUCGGCCGAUACUGCCGUUCUUGAGGGAUGCAGAGGAGACUGGAAUUCCCGGUGUAGCGGUGAGAUGUGUAGAGAUCGGGAGGAACACCGGUGGCGAAGGCGGGUCUCUGGGCAUGUCCUGACGCUGAGGAGCGAAAGUGUGGGGAGCGAACAGG